rnacentral:rRNA from 1 species
AUACGGAGGGUGCGAGCGUUAAUCGGAAUUACUGGGCGUAAAGCGCGCGUAGGUGGUUAAUUAAGUCAGAUGUGAAAGCCCAGGGCUCAACCUUGGAACUGCAUUUGAAACUGGUUAACUAGAGUUUUGUAGAGGGUGGUAGAAUUUCAGGUGUAGCGGUGAAAUGCGUAGAGAUCUGAAGGAAUACCAGUGGCGAAGGCGGCCACCUGGACAAAGACUGACACUGAGGCGCGAAGGCGUGGGGAGCAAACGGGAUUAGAAACCCCAGUAGUCC